rnacentral:rRNA from 1 species
CCUACGGGAGGCAGCCGUGAGGAAUAUUGGUCAAUGGACGAGAGUCUGAACCAGCCAAGUCGCGUGAAGGAUGACUGCCCUAUGGGUUGUAAACUUCUUUUAUAUGGGAAUAAAAUGUUUCACGUGUUGGAUUUUGUAUGUACCAUAUGAAUAAGGAUCGACUAACUCCGUGCCAGCAGCCGCGGUAAUACGGAGGAUCCGAGCGUUAUCCGGAUUUAUUGGGUUUAAAGGGAGCGAAGGUGGAUUUUUAAGUCAGUUGUGAAAAUUUGCGGCUCAACCGUAAAAUUGCAGUUGAAACUGGCAGUCUUGAGUACAAUAGAGGUGGGCGGAAUUCGUGGAGUAGCGGUGAAAUGCUUAGAUAUCACGAAGAACUCCGAUUGCGAAGGGAGUUCACUGGACUGCAACUGACACUGAGGCUCGAAAGUGUGGGUAUCAAACAGGAUUAGAAACCCCUGUAGUC